GCCCUUGUGGAUCGUGGUAGAUCACCUUCAUCUAGUCCGACGUAGAACCUCUGAGCUUUAUGAAGACAUCGUGGGUUCGAAUCCUACCGAGGGCA